CGACGCCUGCUGCGUUGGAGAACUGGUAGUGAAAGCCCAAGUGAAAUCCACCCUGGAUAUAAGAAAAUGUCACUGUGGGACUCGCCCUUCCAGGACCCUCCGAGGUUGAGAGGGUGCAUCUGGCUCCAGAAGUACCUUGGUAUCUGCCUUGCCCAGGAGCCUGCUGAUGAAGAUUUCCUGUUUGUUUUGAGUCACUGCUGGAGUGAUAAAUAUACUUCGACUCUCUUCUCCGAGAGGAAAGAAACCAGCUGCCCCGAACUAAAGGGAAAAAUAUGUUGAAAUUCCACCAAAGGGCCCUGUUAUCACGAGGCUUCCAUGGAAGGAUGAAACCGGGGAACAUGAGCCACGACAAAGGAGCCAUUUCCAUAUUAAAAAUGUUCCUCCAUGCAUGGGGAAAUGCUGGCGAACAAUGUGUGCUUUUCCUUACUCACCAGCACAUUCCCAUUCCCUGGUCUCUCUCCUUUUGUAUCACUGACUGAAAUCACAUGGAACAAAAAUAAUCACGUUUAAGCAGUUUGAAGUGUACUUUUUUCCUUGGUUUACCUUUACCAUCUCUUAGUAAAAUAUAAUUUCUUCUUUAACAACAGAUGAAAAAAAAACUAUUGUGGCUUUAAAGCAUGAGAUUAUAAAAGACUGCAGCUAGUUUAGAUCUCACAGUUAGAAGUUAAUUCUAAGUCACUGGAAUUGAAAACAUCAGUUUACAACAUUUACUGGCUUGCUAUAAAAAUGUAUUCCCCUGUGUUAUGUUAAACAUGAGAAACUACACCUCGGUGUGUCCAUUAUUUAUAUAUUUAUUCAUAUCUCGCUGCUUCUGAUUCAGCUGUGUAACUGUAUGCAAAACAGAUAAUUACCGGGGAACAGAAUAAUUUGUAUUUUGAGGGGAGUGAAUACCCUGAAGGAUUUGCUUUUGGGGAAA